rfam:Daucus carota subsp. sativus cultivar DH1 chromosome 3, whole genome shotgun sequence.
GCAUAGUGAUGAUGAACUAUAAAUAUUCCGAUUUUUAAAGUGAUGAUCAACACCUCCUACUCAUUCUGA